CCCGCACAGCGGUGAGCAUGUGGUUUAAUUCGAAGCAACGCGAAGAACCUUCCUGGCCUGACCUGCUGAGAACUUUCCGAGAUGGAUUGGUGCCUUCGGGAACUCAGACACAGGUGCUGCAUGGCAAAAACACUCGUGUCGUGAGAUGUUGGGUUAAGUCCCGUAACGAGCGCAACCCUUGUCCUUAGUUACCAGCACGUUAUGGUGGGCACUCCUAAGGAGACUGCCGGUGCAAACCGGAGGAAGGUGGGGAUGACGUCAAGUCAUCAUGGCCCUUACGGCCAGGGCUCACCGUGCUCCAUGUGUCCAAAGGGUGGCAACCGAGGUGGAG
rnacentral:rRNA from 1 species